UCAUACUGAAAUUGAAUGAUUCUCGUUGUCAUGGGGAUAGAAUGUUCAGGUUGGACAAGCUUCAGAUAAUGGAAAGUAUCGUCCACACAUAGAAGCAUGUAUGUAACCUUCAGAGAAUAAAGCAACAGCCCAGUUUUUAAAGGUCAAAGUCUCAGAGUAGAUCUUCAGCAACCCACUAAACAGCAAGAAAGGUGUACUGAGGCACACUUACACCAAAUCUGAAGCACCAUUUGAACAAUGCAUAUGUUGGGCAAAGG
rnacentral:lncRNA from 1 species